UCCUUCUUAUCCCUGCAAGUCCUCUGUAACAACUCUGUGCAUGUGUGAUAGUUCAGUACGAGGAAUUUUUCAUAUGUGCAGUUCUGGUAAGUUACGUAGCACGACUUUUCUUAGGCCGGGAAGCAUCUCAUUCUCACGAACAGCAUGCUUUUCGGCUCUGAGGUUAGCGCUUCACAUGAUCUUACAUCGAGUUCUUCAAGCUCAUCGAACCUUUGCAGCAAGUUGAAUGAAUCAAAAACAUUUGACAGUUUUGGACACUUGUAAAUCAUCAAAUACUUGAGCUUCUAUAAAGGCAAUGACAUUUCAAGAGCAGUGCACCAUGGAAUAAGCUAGAAUUUGAAGGUUUCCAAACUCUGAAUUUCUAGUUUUUCCAGGUGCGACAAGCAAUUUGCUCAGCUCAACGACGGGUUUCCAGUACUCUCCUCGAGAGAUCUAGACCACCUCUAUCUAACAAUAAGUUCAGAAGAACAAUCCUUAAGCCCUUGAAUGAUAUAAAAGAUGCAUCAUCCGUUCUCUUCAGCAAUGGCUUGAAAUAAGCUAGCGAGGGAAUUACGAGCAUUUUUUUUCCCGUUCAGAUGAUUUGUUCCUCCAAAAAAACGAACCCUACAUAUAUUUUGAAACAUUAAUAUAAAUCAUAUACGAGGUCUCAUCUAACAAUUUUUUUUUUUCUUAGACGGUUCUUUGACUGUACCAGAGCCUUAAUGACUAUCCACUCUCCGGUUCUCUCUUCUCAUUAAAAUUUAUGGGCAAGCAAAAUAUGCCAAACCCAAGACUCAACUGAAGACUAGCCGGGGAGAAGAAGGGGUAGCUCAGCCGCAGCU
rnacentral:lncRNA from 1 species